AAAGCGUAGUCGAUGGAUAACAGGUUAAUAUUCCUGUACUGUUUAUUGUUGGUAAAGGGGGACGGAGAAGGCUAGGUCGACCGAAUGUUGGUUAUCGGCUUAAGUAUUCGAGGUGUUGAGAAGCGGUGAAAACGCUUUGAGCUGAGAUAUGAAUAGGAGGUGCUAAGGCACUGAACCGACUGAUGUCAUACUUCCAAGAAAAGCCCUAACUACCAUAAGCAAUAAAUACCUGUACCCUAAACCGACACAGGUGGGUAAGUAGAGUAUACUAAGGGGCGCGAGAUAACUCUCUCUAAGGAACUCGGCAAAAUAGCCUCGUAACUUCGGGAGAAGAGGUACCCUUUAUGGGUUGCAAGAACCAGACGCUGGCGACUGUUUAUCAAAAACACAGGUCUCCGCAAAGUCGUAAGACGAUAUAUGGGGGCUGACACCUGCCCAGUGCCGGAAGGUUAAGGAAGCUUGUUAGUCUUUGACGAAGCUCGCGACUGAAGCCCCGGUGAACGGCGGCCGUAACUAUAACGGUCCUAAGGUAGCGAAAUUCCUUGUCGGGUAAGUUCCGACCCGCACGAAAGGUGUAACGAUCUGCGUACUGUCUCGGAGAGAGACUCGGCGAAAUAGACUUGUCUGUGAAGAUGCGGACUACCUGCACCUGGACAAAAAGACCCUAUGAAGCUUUACUGUAGCUUGAUAUUGGCUCCGGGCUUUGUUUGCGCAGGAUAGGUGGGAGGCGUUGAAAAUUUUCUUGCGGGAAGAUUGGAGCCGUUGGUGAGAUACCACUCUAACAAUGCUAGGAUUCUAACCCUACACCGUUAUCCGGUUAGGGGACAGUUUCAGGUGGUCAGUUUGACUGGGGCGGUCGCCUCCCAAAAGGUAACGGAGGCGUGCAAAGGUUUCCUCAGGCUGGUCGGAAAUCAGUCGUAGAGUGUAAAGGCAUAAGGAAGCUUGAUUGUGAGACCUACAAGUCGAACAAAGACGAAAGUCGGCCUUAGUGAUCCGACGGUUCCGAGUGGAAGGGCCGUCGCUCAACGGAUAAAAGUUACUCUAGGGAUAACAGGCUGAUCUCCCCCAAGAGUCCAUAUCGACGGGGAGGUUUGGCACCUCGAUGUCGGCUCGUCGCAUCCUGGGGCGG
rnacentral:rRNA from 1 species